rnacentral:misc_RNA from 1 species
UCAUUUGCUACUUUCUUCAAAAUUUUUUUUAUGUGAUGCUCCUGCCUUCACAUCCUGUCAGACUGUUCUCCUUCAUGCGUUUCCUUGUACUCUUUCUGUCCGCUUCUUGCUCGACAUACCGUGCAUGCCUUCAGUCAUGUCCAAUUGAUCGAUGCAGUCUUGUCCUUUUCUCUUUCUCCUCCAGAACCUGCAACUUUCGACAACCUAGCAUUAUUUUGCUCCUUUUUGUGAUAGUGCCUGGCUAUCUGUUGCUGAUGCCACACAUUCACUUUGCAAUGGUUUAUUAGACCACAUACAUAAAUUAAUAGCUGUAUAAAACCUUGACCCUCCAGCACUUCCACAAGAUUCAUGCAGAAGUGGAAACAAAGAUUACACUUAAUUCCUCACCACAUGUUACUAUGUCUGCAUCAAAGCUUCAUAUUACCUACAUGUGUGCAGUGUCGUUGCCCAUGCUUCCUGGACAGGAAAGCCAGUUGUUCCAGUUCACAAGGCUAGAACAACUGCGAAGUGAUUUAGCUAUCUCCUUGUGCUGCAGAAACCACAUCUUUUCGCCUGUUGCAUUCCUUUGUGAUGCAUUGAACGUGUCUGCUUCCGUUUCCCCUGCUAUUUUUACAGCGAAGCUGUAUAUGGCUAGGUUCUGACCAUGACUAAUAGUGCAUACAUCGACAGGGUGUGUAGAAAAAAGUUGCGUCUACAAAAUUGAAUCCACAGUAGCCUGCUGUGCGCCAGCAGUGCUCAGUGGCUCCGGAGUGGAUGGCAGAAUAAUAAAACGUCAUUGUGUACCCACCAAUGUCUGUGCCUCGUUUUCUUGUGAAGUUGACAUCGCUCUAGCGACGUUAUCAGCAGUUUUACUUUGGUCCUGCUAUGUCCAGGACGCAUCUAGUCUGUACUGAAGAAGAACAAUGUGCAUGUUAAGAGCACCGGUGUGAGCAACAGCGUGAAGGCAAUGGGCAGCUGCUAUAGCCAGACCCGUCUUGUCUGCAGAUCCGUAAUGUCGGAUAGCUGCUCUGUGACCGAUGAAGAACAGCGUGCCCGUGAGGAUCACCUUUGCAAACAGAAGCGGGAGUGGGCACGAAAGCAUCGGCGACCAAUUACAGUAUAUCACAGUGACUACAAAGCAAUGGUUACCAUGGUGACAAAGUAAAUAGAAAAUCAAAGAUAACGAAGUUGUGUGUUGUGGACGCUUCCAGACACAAGACUGAUUUAUGCAGCAGGCGCUCCUUGGCUGCAUCUGCAAUGCUAGCUCAAGGCGAGAAUGCUUUGGGCACGUUGCCAUCUGCGUCCACAGUCAUCCUGGCACAACUGCCAUGGUGGAAAAGGAAAGUAUCAGCAACGUUCUCACACCUACACUGUCCUUAUUGGUAUGUAGUGUGACUAAAUUCUGCUUCUGCAUUAGUUGUGUUGAUAGCAUGCUUGUUCCAAAUUCUUAUUUGUUCCUUUUGCAAAUUUUCAUCUUGUUCACAGAACUUUCUAAAAGGGGAACGUAUCCAAUAAAAUAAAACACUAAUUUACUUUCA